UAAGAAGCUGAUUCAGUUUCUAGACUCUCUUAACCAUUGUGUACUAUACGAUGAUUUUUUUUUUCAAACAAACUUUUUGUUCCAAUCUGGAAGCAAGAAAAAUCCUGUCUUCUGAGACUUUGGGGUAGUAGUUUGACAAAUGAAGAAAUCAGACCACAUACGCCAGCCGCACUCACUUAGGAGUGCUUGUGUGCCAACUCCUCUGCUCGUGUGGUGAAGGUGUUAUGUCGCCUAGCAUGAGCAGAGCGCUGCACGCGCCUGCCAUGCAGCUGUAAACAGUGGGGGCUCGCUGGGCUCAGGGUGCAUGCAUCUGUGCACAGCCUGCUUUCAUGUUUCCACUCUGCACUCAAAGCAGAAGUACCAGGCGGUGAGGAAGAGAAAGCUGAGAACGUACCCAUGAGCUGAUGUCCAUCUCAAGCUCCACUGCAUGGGUGUUUCCACUCUCCAGCACUCGUAUACGUUUCCUACAUCAUCUUCCGUUAUGACUUUAUAGCACAUGGCUCCACAUUUCCCCUAACAAUUGGGCUGAGAUUAUUGAUCAGCUUUAUGAGCAAGCAUGAAGAAAUUUUGUAGAGUAACCUGAUGCAGAGGCAGACGGGCUUCUUUGAAGCAUUACUGCAACAUUUGCUAACAGAGAGCAAGGAUAAAACAAUAGGAACACCCCAGCAAGAUGCAUUUGUUCUGUUUAUGCUUCAGCAUGUGCUCAUGUGGCAUUUGACAAGUACAGGAGACUUCAAAGAUGAUCAGCAAAUGGAAUCCAUGAAGAUUGGCCUCUACCCUCUCUCCACUGGAAGUGCUUGCUGUGUAAGCCACUGCAGUUUGUCUCUCUCUCCCCUGAAUGACGUGUAACUCUUACAGUGAGGUCCCUGUGAUUCUCGUCCGAUACUGAAACUGCUGAGAGCAGCUGGAGGAGCAAGGGCAUUUUGAUUGCCCCAUGCUGUAGAUCGAAGCCUACUUGUUAAUUACAGUGUAUUAACUGAAACCAU
rnacentral:lncRNA from 1 species